ACGCUCGACACCUACGGGAGACAGCAGUGGGGAAUAUUGCACAAUGGGGGAAACCCUGAUGCAGCGACGCCGCGUGAGCGAAGAAGUAUUUCGGUAUGUAAAGCUCUAUCAGCAGGGAAGAAACUGACGGUACCUGACUAAGAAGCACCGGCUAAAUACGUGCCAGCAGCCGUGGUAAUCUGAGCGGGCUGGCAAGGC
rnacentral:rRNA from 1 species